CGGGGGGGGCAAGCGUUGUUCGGAAUUACUGGGCGUAAAGGGCUCGUAGGUGGCCAACUCAGUCGGACGUGAAAUCCCUCGGCUUAACCGGGGAACUGCGUCCGAUACUGGAUGGCUUGAGAUCGGGAGAGGGAUGCGGAAUUCCAGGUGUAGCGGUAAAAUGCGUAGAUAUCUGGAGGAACACCGGUGGCGAAGGCGGCAUCCUGGACCGACACUGACACUGAGGAGCGAAAGCCAGGGGAGCAAACGGGAUUAGAUACCCCGGUAGUCCUGGCCCUAAACGAUGAAUGCUUGGUGUGACGGGUAUCGAUCCCUGUCGUGCCGAAGCUAACGCAUUAAGCAUUCCGCCUGGGGAGUACGGUCGCAAGGCUG
rnacentral:rRNA from 1 species